UACACUCAAACCCCGCCCCCAGCGAAGCCCCUACUAAAGGUUCCUUGACCUUGAUUGUCUCAAAUCCCUAGCAACCAUAGGCUGAGUACUGAAACGAUGGGUCAGAAAGAUGGCUCAGUGGGGAGGCCAAGCACGACACCACCCCGACUUCAAAACCCGAGCUCUAGACAGGAAAGUGAGAGAACCCUCCACAUGUGCGCUCCCCACGCGAAGGUUAUAUGGCCACCUAGGACUGCCUUGCAACCACGUCUUUCUUUCGGGAGGGACUGACUUGCUGUGCUUGUGUUCUGCUCCUGCGACCCCACCUAUUUUGUCCCCCCCAAGCCUCCCACUUGGAAACUUCCUUCUCGUGAGCUGUGAAAGCUUUGUCUUUCUCACAUUCAAUGAUGACCUCUGGAACUUUGCCUUAGAGGGAGGCAAUCUGAGUAUAAAAUAGAGAA